GGUGGCAGGCUUAUGCAGCUGUGCAGUCGACUGUGGAAACACGUAAAGCAGCAUUUGUUUGGAAGCUGCUACCCGUUGGUGUAUUCACUCUUCGGUAGAGGAGUUUGAAUGUCCUCUUGAACACCAACAUGUACCACCGGGGUAAACCUGCACAUGGCCGGCCGCCGUUCAGACCUCGAACCCCCCAUGGUCCUCCUUUCAGACACGGAGGGCCCUGUAGUGCCCCCCCCCCUGGACACUUACCACCUGCACGUUGUGGACCCUUUUCAGCCACAUCGCCGGAUAACUACUAUCUCCUCCACAGGCCACCAAGAGGUCAUUUCAUGAGACCCCAAUGUAGAAGCUUCUCCAUAGACCAUAGUACAGUGGUUGCUGUGGGAGGCGGCCAGCAGAUCGUCCCACAACCACUGCAUAUUCCCAUCCCAAAGUGGAAUACCACUCCCGUUGAACGUCCUCCAGACAGCAGUGACCAAGCCGGUGAGGAAUUCCUGAGAUGCAUCGCAACAAACAAGCCUUUGCCAGACUAUCUCAAAGGGAACAUGGCAUACAACCUGGCUGAUGCUUUUAUGUCGGCAAGUGUCCUGAACGAAGCGAUGAAAUCAAACCCUGGGAUCCAAAAGCAUGCAUCCAGGAGCAGAAGCCGCAGUCAAAGUCGCUGUCGAAGUCGCUGUCGAAGCCGUGGAAAAUCUCGAGCCAAGAGCCGUGCAAUAAGCAAUAGCCGAUCGCCAGACCGAAGCAGAGGACGGAGCAAAAGUUGUGCUCGGGGCAAGAGUCGGCCAAGAAGCAAAAGCAGGGCCAGGAGCAAGAGCAGGGCCAGGAGAGGGAGCAGGGCCAGGAGCAAGAGCAGGGCCAGGAGCAAGAGCAGGGCCAGGAGCAAGAGCAGAGCCAGGAGCAAGAGCAGGGUCCGCAGUAGGAGUCUGAGUCCAAGCAAGAAGAGUCAUGUACGGAGCAAAAGCCGGGUCAGGAGGUCCAAGUCACGAAGCAGCAGUGUUGAAAGGAGGCGUGGGAAAGACCAAAAGAGGAAGAGGUGCACCAGCCCGCACUUUAGCAGCAGUGUGGGCAUCAGUCAUAAUCUGACAGGAAAUAGUCUGUUGAAAGGACUGAAGGUGGUCAUGAACAGCAAAGAACUGGUGGAGCGGAUGCCCACCCUCAGAGAUGCCAUCCUCGCUAUUCAGGGUUCAGAUGAAAGCAAAAAAGUGGAGCGUGUUUGUGCAGAGCUCAGACAGCAGCGACAUGACAGCAAUGACAAUUCAUCGUCACUGGAAAAUGACAGUAUGCUGCUUCCUCAUGACAGAGUAGGGAGCGACUUCUCUUGGCUGCAGGCGCAGAGUCAGGAGGACUCCACAGUCGUGAAGGCUGAGGAGCUUGAAGAUGAAGAGUCUUUCUUGUACGGUAAUGAAGAGACCGGAGGAAGACCAACCAAAACAUCCUCUACCACACUUUUUGCAGCAUACAAACCACAGGGAAUGGAUAAUUCAGGCAGUCAACAGAACAAGACCCUUUACAGUAGCUUUGGGGAUCUGCUUGAUCUGAAGCAAACCCUUCAAAGGACUUCAUCAAGCGUAGCCUCCGCCAGUCUGGACAGCAGUGAGUGUGAGAAGAUCAAAAACAUAUUAAAAAGUCUAGACACAGCAGAAGUCAGCAAGAUCAAGGGGAAGAUGCAGGGUCAAAAGGUGGAGAAGCAGCCAUCUCCUGCACCUUCCAGUUCAGAGCGGACCGCAGCUGCCUUAGCACUGCCCGCGCUGGGUAACCCUAACGUACGGCAAGCUCUGGAGUCCCUACAGUCACUGAUCAAAGCAACGAAGGAGAAACGUGAAAGAAGAGAUGGCAGUGGCUCAUCGCAGACGUUCUCUGAUAAUCACAAGGCACGUGACAAUGAUGAAGGGAAGAAUGACAAACAAACCCGGAUGAAAAAAAUUGAAUCCUUGGUGAAAGAGCUGGAAGUACUGCUGAAACAGGAUGGAUUGAGUUUCCUGUCGCCAGUGAUUGGGUUUUACUGUCAGAAAUGUGAGGAGUUCAUUGGAGAUUUGAGUAGUGCUGAAACCCAUGCAGCCAUCCACCGCCAUGGAAACUCAGGCAGUCAGAAAGUGCGGGAGGACAGGAAUGCUGAAGACCAUUUGAGCGGCAGCUCUGCGCAUCCACAGCCCUCAGACGGGAGGGACCACAGGAGCUCUGACUACAGAGAGUCAGCAGAGCACAGGAGUCACAGGGACCCCCAGCGAGACUGGAGGGACGACAGAGAGCACAGAAGCAAAAACCACAAUGAAGGCAGGAGCCACGGGGACACCCAGGGAAACAUGUCCUUGAAAGAGGAGAUGAGGAAGGAGAGUCUCCUCAUUACCGUGUCCCGUGGACAGACCCCUCCUCCUAAGUGGAGGCCCAAAGAGGAGGUAAACAAAGAUCUGAACAUCGGAAGUCAUAACAAAAUUAAAGUGGAAGACACUGACGGCAAGGGAAGUAAAUCCAAGGGCAGCAUAGAAAAAAAAGGCAAAGUAAAAGAUGGAAGCAGCGACAGCAGUGAUGAUGACAAAGGUAAAACACAGAAAGACAAAUCCCUUAAAAAGAAAAAGAAGAAGAAGAAGGAUAAGAAGAAAAAGAAGGAUCAGUCCUAACUGUUGAAUUAUGCUUGCCACUACGCUGGGAACCACGUUGAUAUUUUUUAUAGGUAUGACCAGCAGGAGGGGGUGUUAAAAGAAUGUGCUGUUAGGAAGUGCACAAAACGAUGGUUAGAAAUGAAGAUUAAUAUCAAUGUUAUCUUUUGUGCAUCUGGCUGAGAUGUCUCUUGCCUGGAGUUUUGAGUUCUUGGAGAUGUAUGUUCCCGCUCUGCUCCCUCCAAACACAUCCCAGUCUCUGCUCUACUGGACUUACAGACACUGGAAUGGCUGCCAUACAUGCAAAGAUUGAGAUUCAAGAAACAUUUGGAGUGGUCUCUUCUUUCGGGCUGUAUAUAUUCUCCAGCAAACAUUCUUACGUUUUCGCAGCAUGAAAAGUGGGUUCAUAUAAAAAAUGUACAUAUAAAUAUACAUAUAAAAAAUGUAUUAAUGGUGUUGGGGAAUAUUUUGCUUAGGUGUUUAACCUAUGACCUAGUUCAUCAUCUUCUCCUUCCUCUGUCUGUAUUCCCAUGGCAUCGGCAGGGGCAGCCUUGGCUUCCUGAGCUUUGUUGUUAACCAUAUUGUACAAGCUCAUGCUGACCUAAGAUAGAUUUUAUUGUUUUGGGACAGCAGGGUGCCAGUUUAUCUGGCUCCAGCUACUCUCGUACGCAUAUUCUAUUGACCUAGAUGGCAGUUUUAGUUAAACGUAAUGUCCGCUCUUAUUUAGUCUGAUGCUCGAAGAAUGUUGAUUACCCACUGGU